rnacentral:misc_RNA from 1 species
GAUGAAGAACGUAGCGAAAUGCGAUAAGUAAUGUGAAUUGCAGAAUUCAGUGAAUCAUCGAAUCUUUGAACGCACAUUGCGCCCGCCAGUAUUCUGGCGGGCAUGCCUGUCCGAGCGUCAUUUCAACCCUCAAGCCCCCGGGCUUGGUGUUGGAGAUCGGCGAGCCCCCCGGGGCGCGCCGUCUCCCAAAUAUAGUGGCGGUCCCGCUGUAGCUUCCUCUGCGUAGUAGCACACCUCGCACUGGGAAACAGCGUGGCCACGCCGUAAAACCCCCCACUUCUGAAAGGUUGACCUCGGAUCAGGUAGGAAUACCCGCCGAACUUAAGCAUAUCAAUAAGCGGAGGA